GACGUAGGGGGCGAGCGUUGUCCGGAAUUACUGGGCGUAAAGAGCACGUAGGCGGGUAAUUAAGUCAGAUGUGAAAGACCGGGGCCCAACCUUGGGGUUGCAUCUGAAACUGGUUAUCUUGAGGGCAGGAGAGGAAAGUGGAAUUCCUGGUAUAGCGGUGAAAUGCGUAGAAAUCAGGAGGAAUACCAGUGGCGAAGGCGGCUUUCUGGACUGACCCUGACGCUGAGGUGCGAAAGCGUGGGUAGCAAACAGGGUUAGAUACCCUGGUAGUCCACGCUGUAAACGAUGGAUACUAGGUGUGGGAGGUAUCGACCCCUUCCGUGCCGGAGCUAACGCAAUGAGUAUCCCGCCUGGGGAGUACGGUCGCAAGGCUGAA
rnacentral:rRNA from 1 species